GGGUUAAGUCCCGUAACGAGCGCAACCCUUGUCCUUAGUUACCAGCACGUUAGUGGUGGGCACUCUAAGGAGACUGCCGGUGACAAACCGGAGGAAGGUGGGGAUGACGUCAAGUCAUCAUGGCCCUUACGGCCUGGGCUACACACGUGCUACAAUGGUACGGGUACAAAGGGUUGCCAAGCCGCGAGGUGGAGCUAAUCCCAUAAAACCGAUCGUAGUCCGGAUCGCAGUCUGCAACUCGACUGCGUGAAGUCGGAAUCGCUAGUAAUCGUGAAUCAGAAUGUCACGGUGAAUACGUUCCCGGGCCUU
rnacentral:rRNA from 1 species